CCUGACUCCAUCUCGAACUCAGAAGUGAAACAGACCUGCGCCGAUGAUAGUGUGGAGUUUCUCC
rnacentral:rRNA from 1 species